UACGGAGGGUGCAAGCGUUAUCCGAAUUCACUGGGUUUAAAGGGUGCGUAGGUGGGCAAGCAAGUCAGUGGUGAAAUCUCCGGGCUUAACCCGGAAACUGCCAUUGAUACUAUUUGUCUUGAAUACUGUGGAGGUCAGCGGAAUAUGUCAUGUAGCGGUGAAAUGCUUAGAUAUGACAUAGAACACCAAUUGCGAAGGCAGCUGGCUACACAAAUAUUGACACUGAGGCACGAAAGCGUGGGGAUCAAACAGG
rnacentral:rRNA from 1 species